AAGGUAACUACGAAAAAUUUUUCAAUUUUAGCUUUAUUUUAACAAAGAAUCUUACAAUACAAUAAACAUAUGUUUCCUAUUGCACUCAAAUAGCACAUUUGGCAUUAAACACAAAAUUGUGUUUUUCUUGUUGCACUCAAAAGAACAAUUUUCCAUAAUCAAGAAUUAGGUUAGAAUAUAAUUAAAAAGCUUCAUUUACAUAAAAUUAAAUUAUUUAUGGUUGCCAAUCCUGGUCUGUGCUUUAAGAACAAUACACACAGACGAGCCAUGUUAUGUUUAUUGUAUAAUAAAAAUAAUGACAUUUUUCAAAACAUGUUAAAGGUUACAAAAGCUUUUUACGCUUGCAUGGAAAUGGCCUAAAAACGUAUUUUAAAAUCGGAUUCUUAUUAAAAAAACAAACUUUUUUUUUUUAUUGCAAAUCAAUUUAGAAUGGGGUUGAAUAGGAAUCGUAAUUCGGAUGUGAAUGGAUUUGUUUUGUGCAUCCUCUAGGAUUCAGCAUUAAUCGUGCCGAUGAGGUCAUUGUCAAGUGUAAGACGUUUCAAGCGCGUGCACAGCUGGAAGAAACUGCGGGAUAACGACCACUUUUGUACUGCCAUCUUGUGGAGUCAAUAGAAAAAACACCACACCAGGACGUCGCCUACAGCCACAGUUGGUAAUACCAAUGUUUUUUAAUCCUGGAGUUAAUUGGAGACCCGCAUGUACACUCAUGACCUCAUGACACGUUUUAAUUAUAAUGCCUUAUUUUAGACUUUGGUCAGGUUGCAAGGGUUCACAAAAUCCACGGUUUGGAUCUUGUCACGGUUUUUGGUUUUGUGCACAUUGUUGUUUUUGUCCUCGUCCCCGUUUCUCCUCCCCGUCUGCUUGUUCCUACCCCGUCGUGCUCACCAGAGGACCUGAGCCCAUGUCAAUGGGAGGAUCCUUUGCGACCCUGGAAUCCGAGCGGGAGAAGCUCAUUUCCUUCAAACAUAUACGCUCUCUGACCCCUGACCCUUGGCGUUCGACCUCCCGCCAGAAGCGGGGCUCCCGCAGGAAACGCUCCCCCGCCGAGAGCGGGGCGGCUCCGGGGCGACCUUUGACCCCGCCACCGCGGACAACAAUGAGCGCUUGCAAGGGACACGUCUGAAAGGUUAGCGUGCUCAUAAAGACGCCGGCACGGGGGUGUCCUAACUUUUUCCACAGAGGGGGAAAAAUGAAAGCUUGCCAUUUUGAUAUUUGUCAUAUUUAAAACCAACACAACAUUUAUUGUAUUAAUUAAGACUCCCCUCAAUUUUGAUGAACAUUAAAGUCUCAGGGACCCAAAAGGGUCUCUGUCAUCAAUCAAUCAA